GAAUUGUGUGCAUGAUGAAAAUUUUGUUGUUAAACCUAUGUAAUUUGAUUGGAUUGUGUGAAUGAUGAAAACGUUGUUGUUAAACCUAUUAAAUUUGAUUGAAUUAUGGAAAUGAUGAAAUGUUGAUGUUAAACCCAUGAAACUUGAUUGAAUUGUGGGAAUGAUGAAAAUGUUGAUGCUAAACCCAUGAAAUUCGAUUGAAUGGUAGGAAUGAUGAAAAUGUUGAUUUUAAACCCAUGAAAUUUGAUUGAAUUGUGGGAAUGAUAAAAAUGAUGAUGUUAAACCCAUGAAAGUUGAUUGAAUUGGGGAAUGAUGAAAAAGAUGAUGUUAAACCCAUGAAAUUUGAUUGAAUUUUGGGAAUGAUGAAAAUGUUGAUGCUAAACCCAUAAAAUUUGAUUGAAUGGUAGGCAUAAUGAAAAUGUUGAUGUUAAACCCAUGAAAUUUGAUUAAUUGUGGGAAUGAUGUAAAUCUUGUUUUUAAACCCCUGAAAUUUGAUUGAAUUGUGUGAAUAAUGAAAAUGUUGUUGUUAAACUCAUGAAAUUGAUUGAAUUGUGGGAAUGAUGAAAAUGUUGAUGUUAAACCCAUGAAAUUUGAUUGAAUUAUGGGAAUGAAGAAAAUGUUGAUGUUAAACCCAUGAAUAUUGAUUGAAUUGUGGGAAUGAUGAAAAUGUUGAUGUUAAACCCAUGAAAUUUGAUUGAAUUGUGGGAAUGAUGAAAAUGUUGUUAUUAUACCCAUGAAAUUUGAUUGGAUUGUGUGAAUGAUGAAAAUGUUGAUGUUAAACCCAUGAAAUUUGAUUCAGUUGUGGGAAUGAUGAAAAUGUUGAUGCUAAACCCAUGAAAUUUGAUUGAAUUGUGGGAAUGAUGAAAAUGAUGAUGUUAAACCCAUGAAAUUCGAUUGAAUUGUGGGAAUGAUGAAAAUGUUGAUGUUAAACCCACGAAAUUCAAUUGAAUUGUGGGACUGAUGAAAAUUUUGUUAUUAAACCCAUGAAAUUUGAUUGAAUUGUGUGAAUGAUGAAAAUAUUGUUGUUAAACCGUUGAAAUUUGAUUGAAUUGUGUGAAUGAUGAAAACGUUGUCGUUAAACAUAUGAAAUUUGAUUGAAUUGUGAAAAUGAUGAAAUGUUGAUGUUAAACCCAUGAAAUUGGAUUGAAUUUUGCGAAUGAUGAAAAUGUUGAUGUUAAACCCAUGAAAUUUAAUAGAAUUGUUGGAAUGAUAAAAAUGAUGAUGUUGAACCCAUGAAAGUUGAUUGAAUUGUGGGAAUAAAUGAAAAUAUUGUUGUUAAAACCAAGAAAUUUGAUUGAAUUAUGUGAAUGAUGAAAAUUUUGUUGUUAAACCCAUAAAAUUUGAUUGAAUUGUGUGAAUGAUGAAAAUGUUGUUGUUAAACCCAUGAAAUUAGAUUGAAUUGUGGGAAUGAUAAAAAUGAUGAUGUUAAACUCAUGAAAUUUGAUUGAAUUGUGUGAGUGAUGAAAAUGAUGAUGUUAAACCCAUGAAAUUGGAUUGAAUUGUGGGAAUGAUGAAAAAGAUGGUGUUAAACCCAUGAAAUUUGAUUGAAUUUGUGGAAUGAUGAAAAUGUUGAUGCUAAACCCAUGAAACUUGAUUGAAUGGUAGGUAUGAUGAAAAUGUUGAUGUUAAACCCAUGAAAUUUGAUUGAAUUGUGGUAAUGAUAUAAAUGAUGAUGUUAAACCCAUGAAAUUUGAUUGAAUUGUGGGAAUGAUGAAAAAGAUGAUGUUAAACCCAUAAAAUUUGAUUGAAUUAUUUGCAUUAUGAAAAUGUUGUUGUUAAACCCAUGAAAUUUUAUUGAGUGGUAGGCAUGAUGAAAAUGUUGAUGUUAAACCCAUGAAAUUUGAUUGAAUUGUGGGAAAGAUAAAAAUGAUGAUGUUAAACUCAUGAAAUUUGAUUGAAUUAUGGGAAUGAUGAAAAUGAUGAUGUUAAACCCAUGAAAUUUGAUUGAAUUGUGGGAAUGAUGAAAAUGUUGAUGUUAAACCCAUGAAAUUUGAUUGAAUUGUGGGAAUGAUGAAAAUGUUGAUGUUAAACCCAUGAAAUUUGAUUGAAUUGUGGGAAUGAUGAAAAUGUUGAUGUUAAACCCAUGAAAUUUGAUUGAAUUGUGGGAAUUAUAGAAAUGAUGAUGUUAAACCCAUGAAAUUUGAUUGAAUUGUGGGAAUGAUGAAAAUGUUGAUGUUAAACCCAUGAAAUUUGAUUGAAUUGUGGGAAUGAUGAAAAUGUUGAUGUUAAACCCAUGAAAUUUGAUUGAAUUGUGGGAAUGAUGAAAAUGUUGAUGUUAAACCCAUGAAAUUUGAUUGAAUUGUGGGAAUGAUGAAAAUGUUGAUGUUAAACCCAUGAAAUUUGAUUGAAUUGUGGGAAUGAUGAAAAUGUUGAUGUUAAACCCAUGAAAUUUGAUUGAAUUGUGGGAAUGAUGAAAAUGUUGAUGUUAAACCCAUGAAAUUUGAUUGAAUUGUGGGAAUGAUGAAAAUGUUGAUGUUAAACCCAUGAAAUUUGAUUGAAUUGUGGGAAUGAUGAAAAUGUUGAUGUUAAACCCAUGAAAUUUGAUUGAAUUGUGGGAAUGAUGAAAAUGUUGAUGUUAAACCCAUGAAAUUUGAUUGAAUUGUGGGAAUGAUGAAAAUGUUGAUGUUAAACCCAUGAAAUUUGAUUGAAUUGUGGGAAUGAUGAAAAUGUUGAUGUUAAACCCAUGAAAUUUGAUUGAAUUGUGGGAAUGAUGAAAAUGUUGAUGUUAAACCCAUGAAAUUUGAUUGAAUUGUGGGAAUGAUGGAAAUGAUGAUGUUAAACCCAUGAAAUUUGAUUGAAUUGUGGGAAUGAUGAAAAUGUUGAUGUUAAACCCAUGAAAUUUGAUUGAAUUGUGGGAAUGAUGAAAAUGAUGAUGUUAAACCCAUGAAAUUUGAUUGAAUUGUGGGAAUGAUGAAAAUGUUGAUGUUAAACCCAUUAAAUUUGAUUGAAUUGUGGGAAUGAUGAAAAUGUUGUUAUUAAACCCAUGAAAUUUGAUUGAAUUGUGUGAAUGAUGAAAAUAUUGUUGUUAAACCUUUAAAAUUUGAUUGAAUUGUGUGAAUGAUGAAAACGUUGUUGUUAACCAUAUGAAAUUUGAUUGAAUUGUGAAAAUGAUGAAAUGUUGAUGUUAAACCCAUGAAAUUGGAUUGAAUUCUGCGAAUGAUGAAAAUGUUGAUUUUAAACCCAUGAAAUUUGAUUGAGUUGUUGGAAUGAUAAAAAUGAUCAUGUUAAACCUAUGAAAGUUGAUUGAAUUGUGGGAAUAAAUGAAAAUAUUGUUGUUAAAACCAAGAAAUUUGAUUGAAUUAUGUGAAUGAUGAAAAUUUUGUUGUUAAACCCAUAAAUUUUGAUUGAAUUGUGUGAAUGAUGAAAAUGUUGUUGUUAAACCCAUGAAAUUAGAUUGAAUUGUGGGAAUGAUAAAAAUGAUGAUGUUAAACCCAUGAAAUUUGAUUGAAUUGUGGGAAUGAUGAAAAAUAUGGUGUUAAACCCAUGAAAUUUGAUUGAAUUUGUGGAAUCAUGAAAAUGUUGAUGCUAAACCCAUGAAAUUUGAUUGAAUGGUAGGCAUGAUGAAAAUGUUGAUGUUAAACCCAUGAAAUUUGGUUGAAUUGUGGUAAUGAUAUAAAUGAUGAUGUUAAACCCAUGAAAUUUGAUUGAAUUGUGGGAAUGAUGAAAAUGUUGAUGUUAAACCCAUGAAAUUUGAUUGAAUUGUGGGAAUGAUGAAAAUGUUGAUGUUAAACCCAUGAAAUUUGAUUGAAUUGUGGGAAUGAUGAAAAUGAUGAUGUUAAACCCAUGAAAUUUGAUUGAAUUGUGGGAAUGAUGAAAAUGUUGAUGUUAAACCCAUGAAAUUUGAUUGAAUUGUGGGAAUGAUGAAAAUGUUGAUGUUAAACCCAUGAAAUUUGAUUGAAUUGUGGGAAUGAUGAAAAUGUUGAUGUUAAACCCAUGAAAUUUGAUUGAAUUGUGGGAAUGAUGAAAAUGUUGAUGUUAAACCCAUGAAAUUUGAUUGAAUUGUGGGAAUGAUGAAAAUGUUGAUGUUAAACCCAUGAAAUUUGAUUGAAUUGUGGGAAUGAUGAAAAUGUUGAUGUUAAACCCAUGAAAUUUGAUUGAAUUGUGGGAAUGAUGAAAAUGUUGAUGUUAAACCCAUGAAAUUUGAUUGAAUUGUGGGAAUGAUGAAAAUGUUGAUGUUAAACCCAUGAAAUUUGAUUGAAUUGUGGGAAUGAUGAAAAUGUUGAUGUUAAACCCAUGAAAUUUGAUUGAAUUGUGGGAAUGAUGAAAAUGUUGAUGUUAAACCCAUGAAAUUUGAUUGAAUUGUGGGAAUGAUGAAAAUGUUGAUGUUAAACCCAUGAAAUUUGAUUGAAUUGUGGGAAUGAUGAAAAUGUUGAUGUUAAACCCAUGAAAUUUGAUUGAAUUGUGGGAAUGAUGAAAAUGAUGAUGUUAAACCCAUGAAAUUUGAUUGAAUUGUGGGAAUGAUGAAAAUGUUGAUGUUAAACCCAUGAAAUUUGAUUGAAUUGUGGGAAUGAUGAAAAUGUUGAUGUUAAACCCAUGAAAUUUGAUUGAAUUGUGGGAAUGAUGAAAAUGUUGAUGUUAAACCCAUGAAAUUUGAUUGAAUUGUGGGAAUGAUGAAAAUGUUGAUGUUAAACCCAUGAAAUUUGAUUGAAUUGUGGGAAUGAUGAAAAUGUUGAUGUUAAACCCAUGAAAUUUGAUUGAAUUGUGGGAAUGAUGAAAAUGUUGAUGUUAAACCCAUGAAAUUUGAUUGAAUUGUGGGAAUGAUGAAAAUGUUGAUGUUAAACCCAUGAAAUUUGAUUGAAUUGUGGGAAUGAUGAAAAUGUUGAUGUUAAACCCAUGAAAUUUGAUUGAAUUGUGGGAAUGAUGAAAAUGUUGAUGUUAAACCCAUGAAAUUUGAUUGAAUUGUGGGAAUGAUGAAAAUGUUGAUGUUAAACCCAUGAAAUUUGAUUGAAUUGUGGGAAUGAUGAAAAUGUUGAUGUUAAACCCAUGAAAUUUGAUUGAAUUGUGGGAAUGAUGAAAAUGUUGAUGUUAAACCCAUGAAAUUUGAUUGAAUUGUGGGAAUGAUGGAAAUGAUGAUGUUAAACCCAUGAAAUUUGAUUGAAUUGUGGGAAUGAUGAAAAUGUUGAUGUUAAACCCAUGAAAUUUGAUUGAAUUGUGGGAAUGAUGAAAAUGAUGAUGUUAAACCCAUGAAAUUUGAUUGAAUUGUGGGAAUGAUGAAAAUGAUGAUGUUAAACCCAUGAAAUUUGAUUGAAUUGUGGGAAUGAUGAAAAUGUUAAUGUUAAACCCAUGAAAUUUGAUUGAAUUGUGGGAAUGAUGAAAAUGUUGUUAUCAUACCCAUGAAAUUUGAUUGGAUUGUGUGAAUGAUGAAAAUGUUGUAGUUAAACCUAUGAGAUUUGAUUGAAUUAUGGAAAUGAUGAAAUAUUAAUGUUAUACCCAUGAACUUUGAUUGAAUUAUGUGAAUAAUGAAAACGUUGUUGUUAAACCCAUGAAAUUUGAUUGAAUUGCGGGAAUGAUGAAAAUGUUGAUGUUAAACCCAUGAAAUUUGAUUCAGUUGUGGGAAUGAUGAAAAUGUUGAUGUUAAACACAUGAAAUUUGAUUGAAUUGUGGGAAUGAUGAAAAUGACGAUGUUAAACCCAUGAAAUUUGAUUGAAUUGCGGGAAUGAUGAAAAUGUUGAUGUUAAACCCAUGAAAUUUGAUUCAGUUGUGGGAAUGAUGAAAAUUUUGAUGCUAAACCCAUGAAAUUUGAUUGAAUUGUGGGAAUGAUGAAAAUGAUGAUGUUAAACCCCUGAAAUUUGAUUGAAUUGUGGGAAUGAUGAAAAUGUUGAUGUUAAACCCAUGAAAUUUAAUUGAAUUGUGGGACUGAUGAAAAUGUUGUUAUUAAACCCAUGAAAUUUGAUUGAAUUGUGUGAAUGAUGAAAAUAUUGUUGUUAAACCUUUGAAAUUUGAUUGAAUUGUGUGAAUGAUGAAAACGUUGUCGUUAAACAUAUGAAAUUUGAUUGAAUUGUGAAAAUGAUGAAAUAUUGAUGUUAAACCCAUGAAAUUGGAUUGAAUUUUGCGAAUGAUGAAAAUGUUGAUGUUAAACCCAUGAAAUUUGAUUGAAUUGUUGGAAUGAUAAAAAUGAUGAUGUUGAACCCAUGAAAGUUGAUUGAAUUGUGAAAAUAAAUGAAAAUAUUGUUGUUAAAACCAAGAAAUUUGAUUGAAUUAUGUGAAUGAUGAAAAUUUUGUUGUUAAACCCAUAAAAUUUGAUUGAAUAGUGUGAAUGAUGAAAAUGUUGUUGCUAAACCCAUGAAAUUUGAUUGCAUUGUGGGAAUGAUGAAAAUGUUGAUGUUAAACUCAUAAAAUUUGAUUGAAUUGUGUGAAUGAUGAAAAUGUUGUUGUUAAACACAUGAAAUUAGAUUGAAUUGUGGGAAUGAGAAAAAUGAUGAUGUUAAACCCAUGAAAUUUGAUUGAAUUGUGGGAAUGAGGAAAAAGAUAGUGUUAAACACAUGAAAUUUGAUUAAAUUGUGGGAAUGAUGAAAAUGUUGAUGCUAAACCCAUGAAAUUUGAUUGAAUUGUGGGAAUGAUGAAAAAGAUGAUGUUAAACCCAUAAAAUUUGAUUGAAUUGUGUGCAUGAUGAAAAUGUUGUUGUUAAACC
rnacentral:lncRNA from 1 species